AGCUAUUUAUUAAUUAUAAAAAUAUUUGACACUAAUUUUAAUUAUAAAACGUUUGUGAUAGUAGUUCACGAUAUUAUCGUGAUUCAGCCAAGACUAAAAAUAUUAUUAUUUUUGAAAAGUAGUGCACUCUCGAAUUUCCCUCCGAAGCUUGACAACUUAUGCUUCCGCCGUUACCCGAAUUACCACAAUACCUUCCCUGACUCUACCAGUUUGAAAGACACAUUCCAAAUUAAUACGUUAAUGUCAUUCAUCGUAUCAAUUUGUAGUGACCUUGGCUUCCAGUUUGUACUUAACGCAUUACUUGAUAUUCCAUCUGCAUUGAACUCAAUCUUACAUAGCUGAAAAUUUGAGUUACAUUUUGCAUUCGAUUACGAAUUUUCAUAAAUAAAACAUACGGUUGACCUACUGCAUCAGGCUCAGUUUGAAAAUGAUGGUUUUCGUCAUUUUCAGCUUCCAUGUUCACAAGGCUCACCGUGGAAAUGAUAUUUUUUUUACAUUUUCAGCUUCCAUGUUCUCAAAUUGAUCAUUCAUAUACUCAAAAUGUAAUUUUUAUUAUUCAACACGCCGACGCGUGUGUCAUUUUGUAAAUCAAAUGUGAAUCGAUAAUCUUGGUUAUCGUAACAUCAUAUUCAUAUUUAUUCGCUUCGUUAUAAACAACUUUCAAGUUUUAACGCAGCCAAUCAGCAAACGAAUAAAAACUCAGCUGCGUUCAGCGGCACAAUUCACUCAUUUCGCAAAGUCAAAUCGGUCCACACGCAAAAUGUAACGG
rnacentral:misc_RNA from 1 species